rnacentral:rRNA from 1 species
AUCGCAAAUUCCCUCCUGUUUCGAUUCCUGGAUCAUUUUGACCUCUUGACCCCUCCAAAUUGGGGUAGGACUACCCGCCUGAAACUUAAGCCAUAUCNAUAAGCCGANGGG